AGCCAGACUCGCCAGCCUAUAAAUUAUCUACUUACUAGAGUUUAUUAAUGAGAUCAUUAACAACAAUAAGCACCUUGACAGCUUCAGUAAACAGCAGCUCUCUCUCUCUCUCUGUUCCAGCUCUAACCUUUCUCAGCCCGGGCUUGGAUUGUUCCAGGAGGAUCUGGCAGUGCUGGAGCUGGAAAGGAGGUCACCAGCAUCAUGAUAAUAAGAUGGUCAUGUCUCUCUGAGAGACUGAACACAAAGAAUACUUCAAGAAACACUGGUACUCUAAAAAUAAGAGAUACUGGAGUGGCUUGCCAUUGUCUACUCCAGCUCAUUUUACAGAUGAAGAAACUGAGGCAAAAAGGUUUAUGUGACUUGUC
rnacentral:lncRNA from 1 species